AUGCACGUGCUGAGAAGACGCAACCUGGCAGCCGCAGUCACUGGGUCUUCUUCAACGUGGGGACGGACGGACGGGGGGGAAUCUCCAGUAUCUGCCUCGGUGAAAUUUCUGCACAGGUACAACCAGUGUGCACUGACAAAGGAUAACGGUAAAGGUCUCAUGGCGGAGACUAGCCAGACAUACAUCGGGAUGGUGGUUAGGAAUCAUCUGGGAUCUGUGGUUCUAUCUGCUGGCCGGCAAAUCAGUAAUGUGAAAGGGGCUGAGGAGGCGAAAGUGGAGGCUCUGAAAUUUGGUCUGCAAGUUCUAGCUGACGCCAUCCAAGGAGAAGUUAUUUCUUCACAAAGUUGGAAAACAUGUCACAAUCUCAAUUUCUGA
rnacentral:rRNA from 1 species